GUGCUGCAACUUCCAAGGCGUGCUUGACCAGCUAAAAUGUGGAGUGAAUAGCCACUAAAAAAGUCUCAAGCACUUGCAUUUCCCCCCUAUAAAAGGGCAAAGUAUUAGUAGUCCUGGAGACAUGCUUGUUAUACUUAGCUUUUUCUUCCUCUUCUCAUUAGUUUUGCUCAAUGGCUAAAUCCCAUUCUGCUAGUACUAUAAGCCUUUCCAUGAUUUCUAUAGCGCCACUACUAUUUGCCAUGCUGAUGGCUAGCUUAGACACAACAGGUGCCCAAAUAGGUGUUUGUUAUGGAAUGCUUGGUAACCUACCACCACAAAGAGAAGUGGUAGCGCUUUACAACCAAUAUAACAUCCGAAGAAUGAGACUCUAUGAUCCAAACCAAGCUGCUCUACAAGCCCUCAGAGGCACCAAUAUUGAGCUCACCCUUGGUGUCCCCAAUGACCAGCUUGGAAACAUUGCUUCCAACCAAGCCAAUGCAAACACAUGGGUCCAAAACAAUGUGAAAAACUAUGGCAAUGUCAAAUUCAAAUACAUUGCAGUUGGAAAUGAAGUAGACCCCUUAGGUCCAAAUGCAAGGUUUGUUCUCCCUGCCUUGAGAAACAUACAAAAUGCAAUUUCCACUGCUGGCCUUGGCAACCAAAUCAAAGUUUCCACUGCCGUUGACACCGGAAUCCUAAAAGUAUCCUACCCUCCAUCAAAUGGCUCCCUCAAGCCCGAAUUCUGACCAUUUCUUGAUCCUAUCAUCAGCUUCUUAGUGAACAAGAAGUCCCCAUUACUUGUUAACUUGUACCCUUAUCUUAGUUACAAGGAUAACCCCAAUGGCAUCCGCCUUGACUAUGCUCUUUUCACUGCUCCUUCAACUGUAGUGAGCGAUCCCCCACUCAGUUAUCGCAACCUUUUCGAUGCCAUUCUCGAUGCUGUUUACACGGCUUUAGAGAGGGCCGGUGGGGGGUCUUUGGUGAUUGUUAUAUCAGAGACUGGUUGGCCUUCAGCUGGAGGGACAGCGACAACACUUGAUAAUGAAAGAACUUACAUCAACAAUUUGAUUCAACAUGUGAAGGGAGGGACUCCAAAGAAGCCUGGAAGACCUAUAGAAACUUAUGUGUUUGCCAUGUUUGAUGAGAAUCAAAAAAAUCCAGAGUUUGAGAAACACUGGGGGCUUUUUCUACCAAACAAGCAGCCUAAGUUCCAAGUUAAUUUCAACUAAAGAUUGCAUAUCAUGAGCACUUUAUGCAUGGAAUAAGAAAGCUUCUUGUUCUUCCUUUUUAUUAUGAUCAUAAAUAAAGAAGGCAAAUAAUCUUGGACUAAA